GUGAAUCAUCGAAUUUUUGAACGCAAAUUGCGCUUCCUAGCAUCCCGGGAAGUAUGCCUGUUUGAGGGUCAGUAUUAACAAAAAAAUCGGUUUGGUUGCAAAUUGUGACGUUUCCGGAGUUUGGGCUAUCUUAACUUUUUUGGUUAAGGGGCUUAAAAUUGACCUUUUUUGCGCAUUUUUAGAUGUACAUAAUUUUUUUUUUUAUUCUUCUUUUUUUAUUGCCAAAAUU
rnacentral:misc_RNA from 1 species